CUUGGAAACUUCAAAUAUCCCAUCUGUUUUCAUAUUUUCUAACUUUAAUAUUCUAUGGUUUAAAGUGUACCAAGUUAGUCCAUGUAACUUCGUACUUUUUUACUUUAGUACCCUAUGGUUUAAUUUGUAUCAAGUUAGUACUAUGUGAUUUCAUUUUUCUCUUUUCGUCGGCUCUGUUAAUAUUUCAUUAAAUUAUAUACAAAAAAACUUCAGAUACUCUAUUUAGAUUUAUCUAAUAUUUACUUCAGCACUUUUUAGUUUUAACUUUGUGACUAUUUUUUUUUCCUCCGUUAAUAUUUCGUUAAAUUAUAUAUAAAAAACUUCAGAUACCCUAUCUAGGUUUAUCGAAUAUUCACUUUAGUACCUUUAGUUUUAACUUUGUCACUGAUUUAACGAAAACAAUUAGUGAAAUAGAUAAUAAAAAAAGAAAGUGAAACCACAAGGUACUAACUUGAUACACUUUAAACCACAUGAUACUAAAGUGAAAAAAUAUGAAACCACAAGGACUAACUUGAUAUACUUUAAACCACGUGAUACUAAAGUGAGAAAGUAUGAAACCACAUGGGGUAUUUGAAGUUUUUCUUUUAGUGGACAGUCA
rnacentral:lncRNA from 1 species